rfam:Gossypium hirsutum cultivar TM-1 unplaced genomic scaffold scaffold1146.1, whole genome shotgun sequence
UGUUAAAAAUUUCUUCCAUUUUGUACUGUUAAAAACUAGCGUGACUGAUGAAAUAACCAAGUAGUGACAUGUGGCGUGCCACAUGUAUCUCAUGCUAAUGUAUAGGGACCAAUUUUUAACAGUAGAAAUGGAUGAAAUUUUUAAUA